UUUCCAUACACCAGUACGUCUUAUUAAAAUGUAUUAUAUAUUAUUUUAAUUUUUUUAACAAAAGGAAGUACCAUUGCUGGCGGACCGAUUGGAGGGCAGACAAGGGUUUACCUGAGAAAUGAACAUUUGCAGUACAUUAUAACUUGGUAAGAUUUAAAUAGCUUAAACUAGCUUAAUACUAGCAGAUUGCUAUAAGUCAAUAAUGCUACAAACUUAAUGAACGUAAUUCACACUGGAUAGCUCUAUCAAUUCUAUAAACCAAGGAACAACUUCAAAUUGGACUGGAAAUUACACUCUUUAUUAUUAGCAUGACAAAAUUACUGGAUGCUGAUUGGUUGAGAGUACAAUUAUUUCAUUAAUUGUACUGCAGUACAAUUUUUGAUUUUCCCAAAACAAACAAAAUGGCGGAAAGGUACUUAAACGCAAAUGAAAUUGCCCUAGAUGAACUAAAGCAAAAUAACUAAAUGAAAAUCAAAAAGCACCAAAUUUUGGUUGAACGUCUGGCAGGACUGGGCUUUGGCGAGAGAAUAUGAUGUUGACAUUGAGAAUUAUCCAAUUUUCUCAUGGAGUAACAAUAAACAAGUAAUCAUGCGAUGUUACUCGUACAAUUCUUGUGCUCACAGAAGACAAAGAUAGAGCGUGUGCAGAGGCGAGCCACUAGAUGGAUAUUGAAAGCUAGAAAGGGUGACUCCAGCUACAAUGAGCGUCUCGUUGAUCUGAACUUACUACCUUUGUGUUAUGAUAGAGAGAUAAAAGAUCUAAUGUUCUUCUACAAAGGCUCUUUAUGGUAUUUCCGAUCUCAAUGUUCAUGACUAUGUCUCGUUUGUAACCCAUAACCACUCCCGUCUAUGUCGUAAUCCCAACCUGUUGCUCAAGACUCCAUUGUGUAAAACCACAACAUAUCAGAACUCAUAUUUCAACCGGAUCGUGAAAUUAUGGAACAGUGUUUGUAGAGUAGCUCCACCAAAUACAUUCUCUAGUGUGAAAACAUUUAAAUACUACCUCUUUAAUCAUUAUUCUAUGUUAGUAUCGACCGUGUUCGAUGUAAACUUGUUAUGUACUUGGUCUAUGUCACGUGCCUGUCCUUGUCAUAGGAGUUAAUUGUCUCGCUGUAUAAAGUUACCUGUUAUUAGUAUUUACAUAGUAAAUUAUAUUUACAUGUAUUCUGUUGGAAAGGUGCCUUGCAUGGAUAGCGCAAAUUAUUUACGUUCCGUUCGCACCUCUUCCAUUUGGGUAAUAUAUUUGUUCUUUGCACGCAUAGUAUUAGUACGUCUUUUGUAAAUAAUUAUUAUAUUUACCCAAUAAAGUAUUUAAACAAUUAUGGAUUAGUAGUACUCGCAGGGUGUUAGCCAGAAGUAAAAAAAAAAUCCGCGUUUACCUGAAAUUGGGAAAUUUAUUAUAGCCUGAAGCCGGGCAUUUCUUUGUGGAUCUGGGCCUGGGGGCAAGCGGUUACCCCCUCUCGAUUUUUAAACUUUUUGUGUCUUUGAAAUGGCAUUUCCCGCAUUUUUGGAGUAAUUUUAAGCAAAUGUAGUUAUAAACAUGUUUUUAAUGGCGUAUUAACAACAUUGAAUUUCUAUAACUAUUUUUUGGCUGACCCAAACUGGUAAUUUGCGACCUCAAGGUAAUUGGGAAAACCGCGUUUAACGCGGAAUUUUUUUACUGUAGCUAACACCCUGACUCGUGAUGUUGGGAAAUUUUGCCAAAUUGGAGUCGCCCCGGCGGCUCGAUCUUCCAAUUUUGGCAAAAUUUCCAAACAUCACUCGUACUAUUAAUCUCUAAUUGUAAUUUUUUUCCAAUCACAUUUUACAAAAUUUUCAGUUCUGGGGAAAAUUUCCCUGAGUAGAAAUAGGCCUUAUAACACUACAUAUUCAGACUCGGACAGUAUAGCCUCGAAAUCAUUGUGGUGAUGUGUACUUUAAAAUUGUUUUAGGUAUGGUCUGUCCUUAGCUACAGCGUUGCUGUUGUACAAAUAUCGAAAACCAGGCAAAUGGAAGUGAAAAUGAAAUGAAAAGAAAUGCCCUCAGUGUUUGAACAGAAGAAUGUAAAUACUAAAUGAUCUGUAAUAUAAUACUUGACAAGAC